UUUCUCCAGUGAGUCUCAACCCAGGGUGGCUAUGAGGAAGGUGCCCUGGGCCAUGUGGCUAAAAGCCGAGAGCCAGGAGGAGGCCACACCUUCCCUGCCCCCUCUGUGCUUGCCUGUCUCAUCCUAGGGGGUCUGCUUUGAAGACCAGCAAGCCACAUGCCAAAAGCCAUGUGCCUGACCUGCUGUAGCCUGGACUGGCUCCCUUGUCUAGCAACCACUGUCCCCAUGGAGGAGUUGGAAGAAUUCACAUGGCCUAAAGCAAACAAGAUAGAAGGAGUUCCUGAAGAAUGUGGGGAAUUGGAAAGUAGAGGGAAAAUUGAGGAGACACGGUGGCUUCUGGAUUGGAACCAUAUAGUAGCUGAAAGCCUUUAAUAUAUACCUCAAAUCUGUGGAAAUGCGUGCAUAAUUACUUGGGUACAUAAGCAUGUUACUGAGCUGACCAUCCUUUUUGGCAUCAAGACUGACUGACCUGACGACUGCUCUACCUUGUGGACGCAAGGCUGUGGGAGCGCCAGCCUCUCAGUGCAGCCCCUAUGGAACAGAACGGAGAACUGGUCACCUGGCUCGCAGCUCCUGCUAUCACACGUCUGUCCCGCGUUGCAUGUAACCCAUGCACUUGCAGGCUGUAUGUGGGUUUGAUCCAGGUGGAUGCACUUUCCUGUCUCAGCAUCAACAGGGAAGCCCUGGGGCAGGAGGCUAGAGACUCUGGGCAUUGGCAGGAGGUGGAGAGCUGCCGGGCUGUGUCCAUGUGAAGGUGAUGGGAGCCCGCAAACAAGCCGGCCACUGCAAAGGGGAAGCAAGAGCAUUGAACUGAAGCAUGAAAAGUAUUUGCUACAACCUUUUCGCUUUUCUCUUGUACUCUUUCUGGUAAGCGAGGAGCCUCCUCUGACAGCCAGGUAGCCAGAAAAAUUUAAAAAAGGCAAAAGUCCACGUUAGUACUGACCGUUUGCGUUAUCCUGGUGUAUUGCUGAGAUAGGGAUAGGGAUGAAAUAAAACCUCGUGAACAGAUUUCUUGCAAACAAAUAGUUCUUGAAGCUAAAGGCAAACCCACUCCUGAGAUUGCUUUUGGCGAUAGUUACUCAAGAUGUGGAUAUAGUGAAUAUAUAGGUAUUCUAGACUUUUUUUGCCUUGUUGAUAAAUUCUAAUGAGUUUUAAGUGUUCUGUUCUCUGAUUUCCCAUACCAUGCUUACCGUUUCUUUCCAACUCUUUCGUCCUCACAAUUGUUUAUUGAUAAUUGUUUCUGAAACCGGUGAACAUACACUUAAACGUGCACAAUAUGCCCUUGGAAAAUAAAGGAUAAAGAAAAGAUAUGAAAAUUAAAUUUGGUGUUUUGAGAAGGAAUUCAGACUUGCUUUGAUUUUAAUGAUUUCAGUAACCAGAAUUUAAUUUUCAAUAAAUUUUAUGGGUCACGGUCAUCUUGAAUGUUUAUGGUCCUCAUGCCAGAGGGAAGAGAGAAAUCUGAGCGAUUUGUUCUAGCUCGCUCUGGCCAGGAUAGGAUCACUGUCCUUUUCCCUCACUACAAUCAGUCACAGACCCCACACUCCCCACCAUACAACCACAGGGGGCAGAAAGUACAAUUCUGUGGGAU